rnacentral:tRNA from 1 species
GAACAUGUAGUGAAAUAAUAAUAAUAAGUUGCAAACUUAUAGAUGCUAAUGCCGUGAUCA